rnacentral:rRNA from 1 species
CCUACGGGAGGCUGCAGUGAGGAAUAUUGGUCAAUGGACGGAAGUCUGAACCAGCCAUGCCGCGUGCAGGAAGACGGCUCUAUGAGUUGUAAACUGCUUUUGUACAAGGGGAAACCUGAAUACGUGUAUUCAGCUGAAAGUACUGUACGAAUAAGGAUAGGCUAACUCCGUGCCAGCAGCCGCGGUAAUACGGAGGAUCCAAGCGUUAUCCGGAUUUAUUGGGUUUAAAGGGUGCGUAGGCGGAUUGAUAAGGUAGAGGUGAAAUGUCCGCGCUUACCUCGGGAACUGCCUCUAAUACUGUUGCUCUAGUGCGUAGCUGCGGUAGGCGCAAUGUAUGUUGUCGCUG